rnacentral:lncRNA from 1 species
GAGGAUGCACCACAAAUCAUAAAAUUGUGCCUAGUCGCCACCACUGUGAGUUCUACUUCUUCAAGAAAACAUGUUGCAGAUCCCCAUCUUUUAUUGUCGCGUGCCUCGACUCUUCGUUCUUUGGAUUUACAUGACUAUUUGAUACGUAGAUCUAAUCGUUGCAUGUCACCUGUCGCAUGCACCAGAUGCACCAUGUCCUCUUCUCUCUUUGCUAUUCGCUCUUUUUUCUCUCCCUGAACCAAUUUCUCUUUCUUUCAUUUUACUUUUUCUUCACUUUUGUAAGCGAGAAUAAGAAAACUUCUCCAUGCCUUACCUCUUUCUUCUGUAAUGAGUUUCAGUGGCAUUGUUCCUGAUCCAUACAAGAUUAAGUUUUACACGAUAUUAGGUUACAAGUUUGAUGAAAAUGAAAUAGAGCUGGUGAAGUUUUUUUUGGAUGAAAACAAUC